AUUGAACGCUGGCGGUAUGCUUAAGACAUGCAAGUCGUGCGGUAGAAGGCUUCGGCCUUUGAGAGCGGCGGACGGGUGAGUAACACGUGGGAAUCUGCCUAUUAGUGGGGGACAGCCCAGCGAAAGCUGGAUUAAUACCGCAUACGCCCUACGGGGAAAGGACAGCAAUGCGCUAAUAGAUGAGCCGCGUAAGAUUAGCUAGUUGGUAAGGUAAAGGACUUACCAAGGCGACGAUCUUUAGCUGGUCUGAGAGGAUGGCCAGCCACAUCGGGACUGAGACACGGCCCGGACUCCUACGGGAGGCAGCAGUCGGGAAUAUUGGACAAUGGGCGCAAGCCUGAUCCAGCAAUACCGCGUGUGUGAAGAAGGCCUGCGGGUUGUAAAGCACUUUCAGUUGGGAAGAUAAUGACGUUACCAACAGAAGAAGCACCGGCUAACUCCGUGCCAGCAGCCGCGGUUAAUGUAGUCGUGU
rnacentral:rRNA from 1 species